GGUAAAAUGGCUGAGUGAAGCAUUA
rnacentral:tRNA from 1 species